rnacentral:rRNA from 1 species
GAGGAAAAGAAAUCAACCGAGAUUCCCUGAGUAGCGACGAGCGAACGGGGACUAGCCCUUAAGCUGGAAUGGUUCUAGAAAAACAGCCUGGAACGGCUGGCCAUAGAAGGUGAUAGCCCUGUAUUUAAAAGGGCCACUCCAGUGAAGACGAGUAGGGCGGGGCACGUGAAACCCUGUCUGAACAUGGGGGGACCAUCCUCCAAGGCUAAAUACUACUGACCGACCGAUAGUGAACCAGUACCGUGAGGGAAAGGCGAAAAGAACCCCGGAGAGGGGAGUGAAAUAGAUCCUGAAACCGUGUGCGUACAAGCAGUAGGAGCUCGAAAGAGUGACUGCGUACCUUUUGUAUAAUGGGUCAGCGACUUACUGUUCGUGGCAAGCUUAACCGUAUAGGGGAGGCGAAGGGAAACCGAGUCUGAUAAGGGCGCAUAGUCGCGGGCAGUAGACCCGAAACCGGGUGAUCUAGUCAUGGCCAGGGUGAAGGUGCCGUAACAGGUACUGGAGGCCCGAACCCACGUCUGUUGCAAAAGACGGGGAUGAGCUGUGAUUAGGAGUGAAAAGCUAAUCGAACCCGGAGAUAGCUGGUUCUCCUCGAAAGCUAUUUAGGUAGCGCCUCAUAUGUAUCCUCUCGGGGGUAGAGCACUGUUAUGGCUAGGGGGUCAUCGCGACUUACCAAACCAUUGCAAACUCCGAAUACCGAGACGGACUGUAUGGGAGACACACGGCGGGUGCUAACGUCCGUCGUGAAAAGGGAAACAACCCAGACCCACAGCUAAGGUCCCAAAUUCACUGCUAAGUGGAAAACCAUGUGGAAAGGCACAGACAGCCAGGAGGUUGGCUUAGAAGCAGCCACCCUUUAAAGAAAGCGUAAUAGCUCACUGGUCGAGUCGGUCUGCGGGGAAGAUUUAACGGGGCUAAGCAGUGAACCGAAGCUUGGGGUGUGCAUAUUUAUAUGUACGCGGUAGAGGAGCGUUCCGUAAGCCGUUGAAGGUGGAUUGAGAAGUCUGCUGGAGGUAUCGGAAGUGCGAAUGCUGACAUGAGUAACGAUAAUGCGGGUGAAAAACCCGCACGCCGAAAGCCCAAGGUUUCCUUGCGCAACGUUAAUCGGCGCAGGGUGAGUCGGCCCCUAAGGCGAGGACGAAAGUCGUAGUCGAUGGGAAGCAGGUUAAUAUUCCUGCACCUCGCGUAAGUGCGAUGGAGGGACGGAGAAGGUUAGGUGUACCCGGCGUUGGUUGUCCGGGGGAAAGGCGGUAGGUUUGGAU